rnacentral:misc_RNA from 1 species
UGAAUGCUACCCAACAUUAGAGAUAUCCCUUCUGUUCUGUUGGACAAUAGGCAGUUGACAGGCUCAAUCCAGUGACUUGCAUUUCACCAUCUGAAAAAGUUAGGGGAAAAAAAACUGGUAGUUAUCCUUUAGGGAGAAUUUUUCUCCUUCAUUUUUAUUAUUAUAUAUCUAAUUGAAACAUCAGGGGUAAUGUUGGGUUCAAAAUUCUUACAGGUCUGCUUGACUACUAAAUGUAUGCUUAGGUCUCAUAGCCAUAGGGGGUUG